GUGGUGGAUGCCUUGGCGAUCACAGGCGAUGAAGGACGUGCGAGCCUGCGAAAAGCUCCGGGGAGCUGGCAACGAAGCUUUGAUCCGGAGAUGUCCGAAUGGGGAAACCCACCCUUCGGGGUAUCCUGGCCUGAAUACAUAGGGCCAGAGAAGCGAACCGGGUGAACUGAAACAUCUCAGUAGCUCGAGGAAAAGAAAUCAACCGAGAUUCCCAAAGUAGUGGCGAGCGAAAUGGGACAAGCCUGCACGAUUUAGCAGAACGGUUAAGAGAACGGAUUGGAAACUCCGGCCAUAGAGGGUGAUAGCCCGUAUUUGAAAACCGAUUGUGGAACUAGGCGUGCGACAAGUAGGGCGGACACGUGUAAUCCUGUCUGAAGAUGGGGGGACAGUCCUCCAAGGCUAAAUACUACGUGAUCGACCGAUAGUGAACCAGUACCGUGA
rnacentral:rRNA from 1 species